rnacentral:rRNA from 1 species
UAACCUGCCUGGUAGCGGGGGAUAACUAUUGGAAACGAUAGCUAAUACCGCAUAACAGCAAAUGUUGCAUGACAUUUGCUUAAAAGAUGCAAUUGCAUCACUACCAGAUGGACCUGCGUUGUAUUAGCUAGUUGGUGGGGUAACGGCUCACCAAGGCGACGAUACAUAGCCGACCUGAGAGGGUGAUCGGCCACACUGGGACUGAGACACGGCCCAG